UCAGACAGUCGGGUAACCGCUCUUGGUUAAUAGCCGGGGGAGGAAAGUCCGGGCUUCAUGGGAGACGGUGCCGGAUAACGUCCGGCUGGGGCGACCCAAGGGAAAGUGCCACAGAGAACAAACCGCCGCGGUGCGCCGCGGCAAGGGUGAAAAGGUGCGGUAAGAGC
rnacentral:RNase_P_RNA from 1 species